GGCCAGAGCUACCCUGCGCCCGCUACCUGGAGGAGCUGCCGGAGCUACCCUGUGCCCGCUACCCGGAAGAGCUGCCGGAGCUGCCCCCUGCCUGCUACCCGGAGCUGCCGCUCAACCCCUGCCCCGAUGAACCUAUGCUCCUGGACCCCCCAGAGGCCAACGCCAGGACCCAGUGAGGCUCCUGGCUCCCAGCUGUUCCAGAGAAGGACAAACCCCAACAGUGGAUGUGUACAGAUGCAAAUAGAGGGGAAGUUGGUGAAAUGAGACAUACAAGACAGCUGUUGCUGAUGACAGGCUGUGACACCCAUAGUGGAGAGUCUGAGGUCAUUGGAAAAACUCCCUGGCUCAGGUCCAAAGACAGAGGUGGCUGAGGUCAGGUGAGCAGCAGAGACAAGGUCUGCGAGUGUGUAGGCAUCAAACCAUAGGACAACUCCAUAGUCAAGAGAUGGGACCUGCAUGCAGAGUGGUCCAAGAGCAGAGCUGAGGUAGCAGCAGAAAACUACAUUUCCAUCCAACCAAAUGGGACCAUCAGCAUGAAAUGGGCAGAAUGAACACAAAUGGGAGAGCAAUGAAUUCAUACAGUGCCCAGCUGGCAAGAGCCUUCCUCACCUUCAGAUGGCACAGCCUGGGCAGUGAGGAUGAAAGGAUCGUAGUAGCUGUACAUCGCUUUCUUCCAUACCACGGACAUGACAUGACCCGAAGAAAGAACUUCCACCAUGGGCUCCUGACGGCUGCAGCCAUAGAAUCUGAGAGGAAAGAGAUAGCGGGAAGUGUGAAAGAGAGUGGGAAUGAGGAAAGGAGGUGAGAAAAGGAGAGGAGCGAAGUGGUGGCAAGAGACGGGGAGAGAGAAAAAAGAGGGGGUGAAGUUAUUCAGACCUUUAACUUCAGUAUGUUGCUAGACACUACGGCCUAAAUCCUCAAAGGUGUUUAGGCUUCUGACUUUCAUCAAAACCAAUGGAUAUUAGGAGCCUAAAUACCUUUGAAGCUCUGGGACUAGUAACCAAAUCAAGGAAUAGCAUGGAGAAAAGGGUGAGCAUGUCCCCACCCCUUGUCAGGACCUUCAUCUUAUCUCACACCAGACCACCUUCAUGAGGACUCUGAGACCACAGAGUACCUCUUGUGAUGCUACACCACAUAUUCUUUAUAGAGAUAUGCUUAUGAUAUGAAUAUGACAUAACUAAGAUGUAUUUUAUGCAAGAUGGGUCAUGUGAGGUAUCA